rnacentral:lncRNA from 1 species
GGUGCAGGGAAAGGAGGGGGUUAGCCAAGAAUGACCUGUGGGCCAUAUGAGGCCUACUGCCUGUUUUCAUAUGGUUCAAGCUGAGAAAAAUUUUUUUAUCUUUAUUUCAUGAUAUGUGAAAAUUACACAAAUUCAAGUUUUGGUGAAUGUAGUUUUAUUGGCACAUAACCAUGUUUUGUUUGCUUCUGGCUUUUGGCUGCUUUCCUGUUACACAGUGGUAGAGCCAAGUAGCUGUAAUGGAGACUGUAUGAGGCCCCCCAAAUCUAGACCGUUUCCUAUCUGACUUCUUAUAGCCUUUGAUCUAGAGGACAAAUCUUGAAAAAAUAAUAAUGGAAAGACAAGGUUAGAAAGUGCCACAUCACAAAAGGUAACCUGGUGGUGGG